rnacentral:rRNA from 1 species
UACGGGGGGAGCAAGCGUUGUUCGGAUUUACUGGGCGUAAAGCGUGCGCAGGCGGUUUGCUAAGACAGGUGUGAAAUCCCCGGGCUUAACCUGGGAACUGCGCUUGUUACUGGCAAGCUGGAGUGUGGCAGAGGGGGGUGGAAUUCCACGUGUAGCAGUGAAAUGCGUAGAGAUGUGGAGGAACACCGAUGGCGAAGGCAGCCCCCUGGGCUAACACUGACGCUCAUGCACGAAAGCGUGGGGAGCAAACAGG